AUCCAGGUGACGAGUCACAAAUAGGAUGAAAUGCUCGUCCUGGAU
rnacentral:hammerhead_ribozyme from 1 species